rnacentral:rRNA from 1 species
CUCAGACGUGAGUACCCGCUGAACUUAAGCAUAU